rnacentral:rRNA from 1 species
CAGCAGCCGCGGGAAUACGAAGAGUGCAAGCGUUAAUCGGAAUUACUGGGCGUAAAGCGUGCGUAGGCGGCCUGGGGCGUCCCAUGUGAAAGGCCACGGCUCAACCGUGGAGGAGCGUGGGAUACGCUCAGGCUAGAGGGUGGGAGAGGGUGGUGGAAUUCCCGGUGUAGCAGUGAAAUGCGUAGAGAUCGGAAGGAACAUCUGUGGCGAAGGCGACUAUCUGGGCCAACACUGACACUGAUGCACGAAAGCGUGGGGAGCAAACAGGAUUAGAUACCCCUGUAGUCCCUGUCUCUUAUAA